AUUGAACGCUAGCGGGAUGCUUUACACAUGCAAGUCGAACGGCAGCGCGGACUUCGGUCUGGCGGCGAGUGGCGAACGGGUGAGUAAUGUAUCGGAACGUGCCCAGUAGCGGGGGAUAACUACGCGAAAGCGUAGCUAAUACCGCAUACGCCCUACGGGGGAAAGCUGGGGAUCGUAAGACCUUGCACUAUUGGAGCGGCCGAUAUCGGAUUAGCUAGUUGGUGAGGUAACGGCUCACCAAGGCGACGAUCCGUAGCUGGUUUGAGAGGACGACCAGCCACACUGGGACUGAGACACGGCCCAGACUCCUACGGGAGGCAGCAGUGGGGAAUUUUGGACGAUGGGGGCAACCCUGAUCCAGCCAUCCCGCGUGUGCGAUGAAGGCCUUCGGGUUGUAAAGCACUUUUGGCAGGAAAGAAACGUCGCGGGCUAAUACCCCGUGGAACUGACGGUACCUGCAGAAUAAGCACCGGCUAACUACGUG
rnacentral:rRNA from 1 species